rnacentral:rRNA from 1 species
UACGUAGGGUGCGAGCGUUGUCCGGAAUUAUUGGGCGUAAAGAGCUCGUAGGCGGUGUGUCACGUCGGCCGUGAAAACCUGCAGCUUAACUGUGGGCGUGCGGUCGAUACGGGCAUCACUGGAGUUCGGCAGGGGAGACUGGAAUUCCUGGUGUAGCGGUGGAAUGCGCAGAUAUCAGGAGGAACACCAAUAGCGAAGGCAGCUCGCUGGGACGGUACUGACGCUGAGGCGCGAAAGCGUGGGGAGCGAACAGG